AGCCAGUGUGGUGUAGUGGUUAGAGUGUUGGGCUAGAACCCGAGAGACCAGGGUUCAAAUCCCCACUCGGCCG